rnacentral:rRNA from 1 species
UGAGGAAUAUUGGGCAAUGCCCGCAAGGGUGACCCAGCAACGCCGCGUGGAGGAUGAAUGUCGUAAGAUUGUAAACUCCUGUUAGAGGGGAAGAAUAGUACCGGUUGGACCGGUAUAUGACUGUCCCCUCAGAGAAAGCCCCGGCUAACUACGUGCCAGCAGCCGCGGUAAUACGUAGGGGGCAAGCGUUGUCCGGAUUUACGGGGUGUAAAGGGCGCGCAGGCGGGAUAAAAAGUCAGUGGUGAAAUCCUACAGCUUAACUGUAGAACUGCCUUUGAUACUUUUAUUCUUGAGUUCGGGAGAGAGAGACGGAAUUCCAGGUGUAGUGGUGAAAUACGUAGAUAUCUGGAAGAACACCAGUUGCGAAGGCGGUCUCUUGGUCCGACACUGACGCUGAGGCGCGAAAGCGUGGGGAGCAAACA